AACGAACGCUGGCGGCAGGCCUAACACAUGCAAGUCGAGCGAGAUGUCCGGGCCUAGCGGCGGACGGGGGAGUAACGCGGGGGGAGAUGCCCGUUGGUACGCAAUACCUUCGGGAAACUGGGCGUAAUACCGCAUGUGCUCUUUGGGGGAAAGAUGUAUUGCCACGAGAUUAGGGCGCGUUGGAUUAGGUGGUUGGUGGUGUAAUGGCCUACCAAGGCGGCGAUGCAUAGCUGGUUUGGGAGGAUGAUCCUCCACGCUUGGGCUGCGACACGGCCCAGUAUCCUACGGAAGGGAGGGGUGGAGAAUCUUAGGCGAUGGGGGCAACUCUGAUCAAGCCAUGCCGGGUAAGUGGUGAAGGGCUUAGGGAUGUGAAGCUCUUUCAGCUGGGAAGAUAGUGACGGUACCGGCAGAAGAAGCCCCGGCUAACUACGUG
rnacentral:rRNA from 1 species